CAGCAGCCGCGGGAAUACAGAGGAUGCAAGCGUUAUCCGGAAUGAUUGGGCGUAAAGCGUCUGUAGGUGGCUUUUCAAGUCCGCCAUCAAAUCCCAGGGCUCAACCCUGGACAGGCGGUGGAAAAUACCAAGCUGGAGUACGGUAGGGGCAGAGGGAAUUUCCGGUGGAGCGGUGAAAUGCGUAGAUAUUCGGAGGAACACCAGUGGCGAAGGCGGCUUACUGGCUCGAUACUGACGCUGAGGUGCGAAAGCGUGGGGAGCAAACAGGAUUAGAUACCCCUGUAGUCCCUGUCUCUUAUCC
rnacentral:rRNA from 1 species